rnacentral:rRNA from 1 species
AGUGAACGCUGGCGGUAGGCCUAACACAUGCAAGUCGAACGGCAGCACAGUAAGAGCUUGCUCUUACGGGUGGCGAGUGGCGGACGGGUGAGGAAUACAUCGGAAUCUACUUUUUCGUGGGGGAUAACGUAGGGAAACUUACGCUAAUACCGCAUACGCCCUACGGUUGAAAGCAGGGGAUCUUCGGACCUUGCGCGAUUGAAUGAGCCGAUGUCGGAUUAGCUAGUUGGCGGGGUAAAGGCCCACCAAGGCGACGAUCCGUAGCUGGUCUGAGAGGAUGAUCAGCCACACGGGAACGGAGACACGGUCCAGACUCCUACGGGAGGCAGCAGUGGGGAAUAUUGGACAAUGGGGGCAAGCCUGAUCCAGCCAGACCGCGUGGGUGAAGAAGGCCUUCGGGUUGUAAAGCCCUUUUGUUGGGAAAGAAAAGCAGCAGGUUAAUACCCCGCUGUUCUGACGGUACCCAAAGAAUAAGCACCGGCUAACUUCGUG